rnacentral:lncRNA from 1 species
AAAUUAUUAAUAGAUUUUGACAUUUGAGAAAAAAAAAUAUUGAAUUUCAAGAACUCCCUUCACUAUCUCCAAUCUACUGACACCAAAAGCAAUUGAAAAUUUAGCAAGUAGUCCAUUUUCACCACCAACAGUGGCAAAUGCUAAAUGCCCAAACGAUUAAAUGAGAUUAGAUAUUAUUUCAAUUUAUCAACCCAAAUUGACCCAUUCCAUUCACAUCAGAAGCUUUUUAACUAACCCAUAUUGCAUAAUCGCCUAAGUAUUGGUACUUUGAAACUGGGUGCAUACGAAAUCAGCUAGUAGAGCUUGGGUAGGAAAGAAAUUGAGGUGGAUAAGUUUGAAGGAAGAGAAACACGACCAUCCAAAAGGGAAUGGAAUUACAAAACUGUGAAGGAAGAAGCAGAUCAUCGAGAAAGGAGGCAAGCACAUUUUUAAGUGGGUCUAUCGUCCAUGUCCAUCACCAUCGCCAACCUCUGCUUCUCCUUGUCGACUAAGAAUUCCAUCUGCAAAAUCGAUCCCAUCUCUCUUAUCAGCUUUUAGAUCACAUCGAUCUCAUCUCCUUAUAGGUUUAUUGUGAGGGAGAGGCUCAAAUGGAUUUAAUAAUUAUGGUCAAUGGAUUAUAAGGAGGUAGGGGGAAGGGUAUAUAGAUUGAGUGGAUAUAACUUCCAAGAGAAAGGAAUAGAUAUUUUGUUAAAAGAAAUCUCUCAAUU